rnacentral:rRNA from 1 species
UACAGAGGGGGCAAGCGUUGUUCGGAAUUACUGGGCGUAAAGCGCACGUAGGUGGCUUUGUAAGUUAGAGGUGAAAGCCCGGGGCUCAACUCCGGAAUUGCCUUUAAGACUGCAUCGCUAGAACGUCGGAGAGGUAAGUGGAAUUCCGAGUGUAGAGGUGAAAUUCGUAGAUAUUCGGAAGAACACCAGUGGCGAAGGCGACUUACUGGACGACUGUUGACACUGAGGUGCGAAAGCGUGGGGAGCAAACAGG